AACUUGUAACGAUGGAUCUCUUGUCUCGUGCAUCGAUGACGAAUACAGCUGGCUGCAAUACAACAGCGAUCAAAAUCUAAAUUUUCCAGAGCUAAAUCCUUUGCAGACAACUUAAAUAAAGAACCGGGGCAUUGCAAGGAGUAGAGUAG